AAAAACACUAACACUAAAUUUCCGUAUUUAACGUUUGACUGUGCAUCUUAUAUAAAUUUUUUUAUAAUUAGUAUUUUCAUUGUUGUUAGAUAAUAAAACAUGAUUAAUACUUUAUGCGUGAUUUGUCUUUUUAUUUUUUUUAUAAUUUUUUCAAAUAAGACAGACGUUCAAACGUUGGACACGGAAACUCAAGGUUUAUCUUUUU
rfam:Oryza glumipatula chromosome 4, whole genome shotgun sequence.